UGGGGAAUUUUGGACAAUGGGCGCAAGCCUGAUCCAGCAAUGCCGCGUGCAGGAUGAAGGCCUUCGGGUUGUAAACUGCUUUUGUACGGAGCGAAAAGGUCUGCCCUAAUACGGUGGGCUCAUGACGGUACCGUAAGAAUAAGCACCGGCUAACUACGUGCCAGCAGCCGCGGUUAUACGUAGGGUGCGAGCGUUAAUCGGAAUUACUGGGCGUAAAGCGUGCGCAGGCGGUUAUAUAAGACAGAUGUGAAAUCCCCGGGCUCAACCUGGGACCUGCAUUUGUGACUGUAUAGCUAGAGUACGGUAGAGGGGGAUGGAAUUCCGCGUGUAGCAGUGAAAUGCGUAGAUAUGCGGAGGAACACCGGUGGCGAAGGCAAUCCCCUAGACCUGUACUGACGCUCAUGAACGAAAGCGUGGGGAGCAAACA
rnacentral:rRNA from 1 species